rnacentral:lncRNA from 11 species
UGCAUUUACAGUAUGGAAUGAAUGCUCUUGGACUCUACUUUCAAUACCAUAACUCCGUAUUAUGGGUUCCUCCUCCCUCCUGCUUUUGCCCAGGGAAGGAGGCACCAAGGGAGGAGGCAUGGCUUGGCAGUUGCCAGGCAAAGAGAGAAAGUGUGAGAGAGAGUGUGAGUGUGCCACCUCUUGACCGUCCCAGGAAAGCAUCCUGAUCCAGGAAAGAAAGGAAAAGGGGAGAGAGGGAGGCACCAAAGAGGCCGAGGAAGGGCAAGUCGGAGGGGAGCCUGGUUUAGAGAGAAGAAAUCCCACGAAACCAAACCUUGUGGUCCUUGAAAAGCGACAGGUUCUUCUCACCCUUUUCCUGGCUCUCUGGGGAAAAGAAGGCAAGGGAUCUUCUCCCUGUGGUGCUCGUUGCCUUCUUUGUCUCUUCUCUCCCCAAAGGUUGGGAGUCUCAUCCCCCGCCAAGUCCCCCCAAAGAGGAGUCUCCCUCUCCCCUCCCGCCGAAGAGGAGGAAGAGGAGGAAGGAGAAAGCCGAGCCUGCCUCUCCCCUCCCUCCCUCCUGCCUUCCUUGCUUCCUUCCUUCCCGGGGAUUCCUUCACUUGAGAGGCGCGACUCGCGCCGCAAAGCAGGAAAGGAGACUUCCACCAGGUCGGAGGAAGAGAAGCCUCUGAAAGGGAAACUUUUCUCUUCUUCGCCACCAUCCCCAGCAAGAACAUCCGUCCCAACUCCUCGAGAUGAACCAGACGGCCGGCGUCUCCAACAGCGUCCGCUGCUCGAGCGGCAAAGGCGCAAAGGGCAUUGAGGAGAAGAACUUCCAAUUAUUAUGAGAAAUGGCUAAGUGAGUUGGACAACCCAAAGAGGAAAAGAUUGAGAGACACGACAACCAAUUUUAAAUAUCUGAGAUAUGUAGAAAUUGCAGUGAGUUUUUACCAUACUGUUCCAGAUAUUGGUAGCUGGAACAAUGGAUAUUGAUGGCAAUAAAGGUG